rnacentral:rRNA from 1 species
CCAGACAGCCAGGAUGUUGGCUUAGAAGCAGCCAUCAUUUAAAGAAAGCGUAAUAGCUCACUGGUCGAGUCGGCCUGCGCGGAAGAUGUAACGGGGCUAAACCAUGCACCGAAGCUGCGGCAGCGACACUGUGUGUUGUUGGGUAGGGGAGCGUUCUGUAAGCCUGUGAAGGUGUGUCGUGAGGCAUGCUGGAGGUAUCAGAAGUGCGAAUGCUGACAUAAGUAACGAUAAAGCGGGUGAAAAGCCCGCUCGCCGGAAGACCAAGGGUUCCUGUCCAACGUUAAUCGGGGCAGGGUGAGUCGACCCCUAAGGCGAGGCCGAAAGGCGUAGUCGAUGGGAAACGGGUUAAUAUUCCCGUACUUGGUGUUACUGCGAAGGGGGGACGGAGAAGGCUAUGUUGGCCGGGCGACGGUUGUCCCGGUUUAAGCGUGUAGGUGUGUGUUCCAGGUAAAUCCGGUUCACUUUAACACUGAGGCGUGACGACGAGGCACUACGGUGCUGAAGCAACAAAUGCCCUGCUUCCAGGAAAAGCCUCUAAGCAUCAGGUAACAUCAAAUCGUACCCCAAACCGACACAGGUGGUCAGGUAGAGAAUACCAAGGCGCUUGAGAGAACUCGGGUGAAGGAACUAGGCAAAAUGGUGCCGUAACUUCGGGAGAAGGCACGCUGACACGUAGGUGAAGUGAUUUACUCAUGGAGCUGAAGUCAGUCGAAGAUACCAGCUGGCUGCAACUGUUUAUUAAAAACACAGCACUGUGCAAACACGAAAGUGGACGUAUACGGUGUGACGCCUGCCCGGUGCCGGAAGGUUAAUUGAUGGGGUCAGCGCAAGCGAAGCUCCUGAUCGAAGCCCCGGUAAACGGCGGCCGUAACUAUAACGGUCCUAAGGUAGCGAAAUUCCUUGUCGGGUAAGUUCCGACCUGCACGAAUGGCGUAAUGAUGGCCAGGCUGUCUCCACCCGAGACUCAGUGAAAUUGAACUCGCUGUGAAGAUGCAGUGUACCCGCGGCAAGACGGAAAGACCCCGUGAACCUUUACUAUAGCUUGACACUGAACAUUGAGCCUUGAUGUGUAGGAUAGGUGGGAGGCUUUGAAGUGUGGACGCCAGUCUGCAUGGAGCCGACCUUGAAAUACCACCCUUUAAUGUUUGAUGUUCUAACGUGGACCCGUUACCCGGGUUGCGGACAGUGUCUGGUGGGUAGUUUGACUGGGGCGGUCUCCUCC